rnacentral:rRNA from 1 species
GUCAGAUUGAACGCUGGCGGCAGGCCUAACACAUGCAAGUCGAGCGGUAGCACAGAGAGCUUGCUCUCGGGUGACGAGCGGCGGACGGGUGAGUAAUGUCUGGGAAACUGCCUGAUGGAGGGGGAUAACUACUGGAAACGGUAGCUAAUACCGCAUAAUGUCGCAAGACCAAAGUGGGGGACCUUCGGGCCUCAUGCCAUCAGAUGUGCCCAGAUGGGAUUAGCUAGUAGGUGGGGUAACGGCUCACCUAGGCGACGAUCCCUAGCUGGUCUGAGAGGAUGACCAGCCACACUGGAACUGAGACACGGUCCAGACUCCUACGGGAGGCAGCAGUGGGGAAUAUUGCACAAUGGGCGCAAGCCUGAUGCAGCCAUGCCGCGUGUAUGAAGAAGGCCUUCGGGUUGUAAAGUACUUUCAGCGGGGAGGAAGGCGAUAAGGUUAAUAACCUUGUCGAUUGACGUUACCCGCAGAAGAAGCACCGGCUAACUCCGUGCCAGCAGCCGCGGUAAUACGGAGGGUGCAAGCGUUAAUCGGAAUUACUGGGCGUAAAGCGCACGCAGGCGGUCUGUCAAGUCGGAUGUGAAAUCCCCGGGCUCAACCUGGGAACUGCAUUCGAAACUGGCAGGCUAGAGUCUUGUAGAGGGGGGUAGAAUUCCAGGUGUAGCGGUGAAAUGCGUAGAGAUCUGGAGGAAUACCGGUGGCGAAGGCGGCCCCCUGGACAAAGACUGACGCUCAGGUGCGAAAGCGUGGGGAGCAAACAGGAUUAGAUACCCUGGUAGUCCACGCCGUAAACGAUGUCGAUUUGGAGGUUGUGCCCUUGAGGCGUGGCUUCCGGAGCUAACGCGUUAAAUCGACCGCCUGGGGAGUACGGCCGCAAGGUUAAAACUCAAAUGAAUUGACGGGGGCCCGCACAAGCGGUGGAGCAUGUGGUUUAAUUCGAUGCAACGCGAAGAACCUUACCUGGUCUUGACAUCCACAGAACUUACCAGAGAUGCUUUGGUGCCUUCGGGAACUGUGAGACAGGUGCUGCAUGGCUGUCGUCAGCUCGUGUUGUGAAAUGUUGGGUUAAGUCCCGCAACGAGCGCAACCCUUAUCCUUUGUUGCCAGCGGUUCGGCCGGGAACUCAAAGGAGACUGCCAGUGAUAAACUGGAGGAAGGUGGGGAUGACGUCAAGUCAUCAUGGCCCUUACGACCAGGGCUACACACGUGCUACAAUGGCACAUACAAAGAGAAGCGACCUCGCGAGAGCAAGCGGACCUCAUAAAGUGCGUCGUAGUCCGGAUUGGAGUCUGCAACUCGACUCCAUGAAGUCGGAAUCGCUAGUAAUCGUAGAUCAGAAUGCUACGGUGAAUACGUUCCCGGGCCUUGUACACACCGCCCGUCACACCAUGGGAGUGGGUUGCAAAAGAAGUAGGUAGCUUAACCUUCGGGAGGGCGCUUACCACUUUGUGAUUCAUGACUGGGGUGAAUCUA